rnacentral:rRNA from 1 species
ACUCCUACGGGAGGCAGCAGUGGGAAUAUUGGACAAUGGGCGAAAGCCUGAUCCAGCCAUGCCGCGUGUGUGAAGAAGGCCCUCGGGUUGUAAAGCACUUUCAGCGAGGAAGAACGCUUGUGGGUUAAUACCCNCCAAGAAAGACAUCACUCGCAGAAGAAGCACCGGCUAACUCCGUGCCAGCAGCCGCGGUAAUACGGAGGGUGCAAGCGUUAAUCGGAAUUACUGGGCGUAAAGCGCGCGUAGGCGGCUUGAUAAGCCGGUUGUGAAAGCCC